GCGUGAAUGUGUUGGAAUACGGAAAUUAUAUCAAGUAGGAUUUUGGUAUAAAAACACAUUCUAUCCUAUGUAGACUAACCAUAUGUUGUGUUUAUAGCAGCAGGACCACACACACACACACACGAAAAAUUUGGUUAUCUUUGAUUUCUCUUAGGAGGGUUCCCCGACUUCAAAGUGCGACGCUCGGCCCCUAACACCUCACCCUGUUACGGCCCACCCUGUGGCCUCUGCAGCCAAACAAUCAGCCAGACAGCCGGACCCCUGAUGUGUGCCCACACAUCCUGCCGACAGGACCAUCUGACGACAGGCGGGCUGCUGGCCCCCACUCCGAGGAGGGCUACGACAGGUGCAGCAGGUGCCAGCGACCGUUAAGAUCGGAUUGGACACACUGCUACUACGGUUCUGCAACAACUAGGCUGGGUUAACGCUGGCUGGGAGACGCAAGAGGGGGGAAAAGAACUGCAGUCAUUUAGGACAUUUUUAUUAGCGCUUCAGGCGAGUAGCAGUGAGGUAGAGCUAACCUUGAGCUCUCAAUGCAUUACAGCUUGGGUUGGUUGAGGUGGACAUGGGCUAGGCAGGGAAUUAGCUCAUCAGAGUUUGAGUGUAGCAUUGCGUUUCUGAUUUCAACACCAGUAUAAACGACGCUGACUGGUGCAUUCAGGGAAGCUGCUCUUUAGAGAGAACACUUUUAUGAAAGAUACGUUUAAGGUUUAUCCUCUUUAUUGUAGAGUAGACUUGAAAAUAGUGCCCUGACCGGCUGGGGUACUAGAGGCUGGGGUACUAGAGGGUACUAGAGGGCACUAGAGGCUGGGGUACUAGAGGCACUAGAGGGCACUAGAGGCUGGGGUACUAGAGGUACUAGAAGCUGGGGCACUAGUGGUACUAGAGGCUGGGGUACUAGAGGUACUAGAGGGUACUAGAGGCUGGGGCACUAGAGGCUCGGGCACUAGAGGCUGGGGCACUAGAGGCUGGGGCACUAGAGGCACUAGAGGAUGGGGUACUAGAGGGCACUAGAGGCUGGGGCACUAUAGGUACUAGAGGCUGGGGCACUAGAGGCUGGGGUACUAGAGGCUGGGGCACUAGAGGCUGGGGUACUAGAGGCUGGGGCACUAGAGGCUGGGGCACUAGAGGCUGGGGUACUAGGGGCUGGGGCACUAGAGGCUGGGGUACUAGAGGCUGGGGUACUAGAGGCUGGGGCACUAGAGGCUGGGGCACUAGAGGCAAGGGUACUAGAGGCUGGGGUACUAGAGGCCUGCGUGAGGAGCAUCCGAUCGGACAGCGAGAGGUAUUCCGCAUAUCGGAGAGGCUUGGAUAAAUGUUUUGGUGGAGAACAGCCGUGGGCUCAUGGAGGACUGUCAGUCAUGCGGGGGGAGAGGGGGGGGGUAAGCAGCCUCCUCAAGCCAACCAAGACCGUCAAUCAUAACGAAAAUUAAGAAGGAAAAGGGAGACAAAUACUAGAGUCAAUGGGCUGGGGGUGGAUCCACCAGUCUGCAAACACGGAACAUAACCUUCCGUCUUUAGACCAAUUACACAGCACGACGAGGUCCUUAGGAGAAUAAAGAAUAGGUCAAGACGAUUAUGGAACACAAAAGACAUUUGGCUGGUGUUUUUCUGCCUUCGCUCAGCCACUCCAAAAGACAAAUUCACCAGAAGAAGAGCGCCAAAAAAAAGGACAUAAUCCAAACCAUAAUAAUCCAGAAGUAAGUGUAGCGCGUGGAAACGGUGAUGGGGUGAGGUAGAGGUGGGUGGGUGGGGGGGGGGUGAAAUAGGGGAUGGGGGGGUGGAGUAGGGGGUUUGGGCGUGUCCGGAGAAACAGGAGAAACUCAACUCAACCCAGCGGAGCCCAGUUGGUGCGCAGCCUCAGAACGGGCUGUGAUGUGUUGAGGGUCUGACCCCGUUGCAUCACCGCAGCACCGCAUGAUGACUGGCCCCACGCCGCCUCCAACCCACACCCCCUCAGCGCCGCCCCGGCCGCCUCACACCCCCCUCUAAACCACAGGCUAUUCAGACGCUGCCCCCACAACAGUCAUUUGCAUUCAGUGCACUUAAGUCUCUCAUUGUGCUCCGACACAAAGACGCUUCCCAGAGCUCAGCACACAUAUUACACAUAUAGCCCCCCUCC
ensembl:lncRNA